GUUAUUCCUUAUCUUCUCUAAUAAGUUGGUUUGUCGGAGCCUGUCUUCCUGUGUUCUGACUCGUCAUUGGAUCCGAGUAAAGCACAUGAAGACAGGCUCAUCAUCGUAGUCGCCGUAAUUCAGAGCCCC
rnacentral:sRNA from 1 species